rnacentral:rRNA from 1 species
CCUACGGGAGGCAGCAGUGAGGAAUAUUGGUCAAUGGCCGGAAGGCUGAACCAGCCAAGUCGCGUGAGGGACGACUGCCCUAUGGGUUGUAAACCUCUUUUAUAAGGGAAGAAUAAAUGCUACGUUUAGCAUGAUGCCUGUACCUUAUGAAUAAGCAUCGGCUAACUCCGUGCCAGCAGCCGCGGUAAUACGGAGGAUGCUAGCGUUAUCCGGAUUUAUUGGGUUAAAAGGGUGCGUAGGUGGUUUUUUAAGUUAGUGGUUAAACGUCGGGGCUUCACGUUGAUUUGCCAUUAAUACUGUAAGACUCGAGUGCAGACGGGGUAGGCGGAAUAAGUAAAGUAGCGGUGACAGGCUUAGAUAUAA